rnacentral:rRNA from 1 species
AGCGAACGCUGGCGGCAGGCCUAACACAUGCAAGUCGAACGGACCCUUCGGGGUUAGUGGCGGACGGGUGAGUAACACGUGGGAACGUGCCUUUAGGUUCGGAAUAGCUCCUGGAAACGGGUGGUAAUGCCGAAUGUGCCCUUCGGGGGAAAGAUUUAUCGCCUUUAGAGCGGCCCGCGUCUAAUUAGCUAGUUGGUGAGGUAAUGGCUCACCAAGGCGACGAUCAGUAGCUGGUCUGAGAGGAUGACCAGCCACACUGGGACUGAGACACGGCCCAGACUCCUACGGGAGGCAGCAGUGGGGAAUCUUGCGCAAUGGGCGAAAGCCUGACGCAGCCAUGCCGCGUGAAUGAUGAAGGUCUUAGGAUUGUAAAAUUCUUUCACCGGGGACGAUAAUGACGGUACCCGGAGAAGAAGCCCCGGCUAACUUCGUGCCAGCAGCCGCCGCAG